GUGCAAGACAAGAUUUUCAGGGUGUUGCUGUUAACCGAACUGUAGGAAGAAGCAUUGAAACUGUCUGAUUACACAGUUGACUACUACACGUUCAGCACAUCUUAAUCCGUCACCCUGAAGAAUGGAGGUUCGAAAGCAGUAUCCACACGCUUUCACUCGGUUGACCACGUCAACUACAUUAGUCUUUGAAUUCCAAAAGCAGUUGAAAGAUAUUAAACCAUUUGAAGCAGUGUCCACGUCAUUAUAUUUACCCUUCACAGGUACGAAAUUAUGAACCCUCUGAAAGUGUUCAUAUUGUCAUAAAAUUUAAUUUUAAGCACAAUUCAAGAAAUUACAGUUUUUUUUAACAAUAUAUUUAAUUCUGUUUUAUGUAUUUUCUCUUUAAGAAGCACCGCUGAUGUUCAGAUUAUCUGUGGAUUUCUUUGAGUUUUUGUUUAGCAUAAUGUACAAUGUUUGUUUUAUAUAUGUUUUAUAAUGAGGUGAAUAAAUAAUCUUACAAGCUUGUUUCAUGUUUAUGUUCCUGUCUUACAAACUUGUUUAUGUUCCUGUCAUACAAACUUGUUUCAUGUUUAUGUUCCUGUCUUACAAACUUGUUUAUGUUCCUGUCUUACAAACUUGUUUCAUGUUUAUGUUCCUGUCUUACAAGCUUGUUUAUGUUCCUGUCUUACAAACUUGUUUCAUGUUUACAUUUCUGUCUCACAAACUUGUUUCAUGUUUAUGUUCCUGUCUCUCAAACUUGUUUCAUGUUUAUGUUCCCAUCUUACAAGCUUGUUUCAUGUUUAUGUUCCUGUCUUACAAACUUGUUUAUGUUCCUGUCUUACAAGCUUGUUUCAUGUUUAUGUUCCUGUCUUACAAACUUGUUUCAUGUUUACAUUCCCAUCUUGCAAGCUUGUUUCAUGUUUAUGUUCCUGUCUUACAAGCUUGUUUCAUGUUUAUGUUCCUGUCUUACAAGCUUGUUUCAUGUUUACAUUCCCAUCUUACAAGCUUGUUUAUGUUCCUGUCUCACAAACUUGUUUCAUGUUUAUGUUCCUGUCUCUCAAACUUGUUUCAUGUUUAUGUUCCCAUCUUACAAGCUUGUUUCAUGUUUAUGUUCCUGUCUUACAAACUUGUUUCAUGUUUACAUUCCCAUCUUGCAAGCUUGUUUCAUGUUUAUGUUCCUGUCUUACAAGCUUGUUUAUGUUCCCGUCUUACAAGCUUGUUUCAUGUUUACAUUCCCAUCUUGCAAGCUUGUUUCAUGUUUAUGUUCCCAUCUUGCAAGCUUGUUUCAUGUUUAUGUUCCAAUCUUGCAAGCUUGUUUCAUUACUUUUGUCAUCAUUAGAAUGACAGGUAUGGACAAGACUGGCUGGUCCUGUCAUUACUUUUGUCAUCAUUUAGAAUGACAGGUAUAGACAAGACUGGCUGGUCCUAUCAUUAAUAUUGUCAUCAUUAGAAUGACAGGUAUAGACAAGACUGGCUGGUUCUAUCAUUAAUAUUGUCAUCAUUA